rnacentral:lncRNA from 1 species
GAAAUAAAUAAAUCCUCUUUAGCAGAUCAAUAUUCAUCCCAUUUAAUGCUUGAUGUGAAACUUGUGGAUUUGUGGUGGUAAUGCUGAUGUACAGCUAAUCGUUGAAAAUGGGCAUUAGGGCUUUUAUAGCAUGGCAACAUAUUGUCAGGCAGGAAGGGAAAGAAGUGGAAAACACAGCCUGGAAAAAAAAUAUGAUUCAGGCUGCCCCUGCUGAAUUUUAGAGAGCGUCAAAACUUAUUGGUUAAAGGGAUGCCUUUAUGAGUAAAACAUGAGAAAUAUUCACUUACUAGGUAAGCAAUUUGUAAGGACUGGAAGUAGAAAUUAAGCAACCAAGACAAGAAGGCUGUCCUAUCAGUUUCAAGAACAACUAAGAGGAUGUUAAAGGACAGCAGAGGGAGCCCCUGCAUGACUUAAGAAAACCGAAGGCAGGCAGAACAGAGACUUUUCAGGGUGCGAAGUUACGCAUGGUGCCCUCUACUGGAGUCACUGGUAAAGAGUUUUGAUUUCAAAAAGAAAUUGACGUAGAAUUUGUUCUUGUUCCAUUGUAUUGGUGAAGAAACUGAAGUUCAAAGUAAUUGGCAGAACAUACUACUUUGGGCAGUAUGGGAGUAGAGGCCUAUGGACGACCAGCAACAGAUUCUUAACAUUUGAGUCCAUUGAUAUAUUCGAAGCUCUACCCUUCUGGAAAAUAUCAUAAGAUUUGAAAAAUAUAGCUGCAAAGAGCAAAAGAAGAUUUGCGUCUCAAUAGAAAAGAUCUACAGAUUGAAUAUUGCAUAGAAAACAAUUUAUUCACCUUACAAAGAUAAAAGGAUGAAAACGCCCUGAGCAGUAAUAAAACUUCGCCAUUUUGGGGAGGGCCUCAAGAGGCUAUCUUAUCAAUCUUGGUCGUUGGAAAAGUAUCUGUAAUCUCAAAGAAAACUUUAAAUACUGUCCAAGGAAAAUAUCCAAAUACAUCUUAAAAUGCCA